GACGAACGCUGGCGGCGUGCCUAACACAUGCAAGUCGAGGGUUUUAGUAGUAAUACGAAGAACACUGGCGCACGGGUGAGUAACGCGUAGAUCAUCUGCCCCUAACACUGACAUAACAGUUCUAACGGACUGCUAAUAUCAGAUGUGAUAAGCAAUUAUUAAAGGGUAAACCGGGUUAGGGAGUNAGUCUGCGUCUGAUUAGGUAGUUGGUGAGGUAACGGCUCACCAAGCCUACGAUCAGUAACUGGUCUGAGAGGACGAACAGUCACACUGGAACUGAGACACGGUCCAGACUCCUACGGGAGGCAGCAGUGAGGAAUAUUGCACAAU
rnacentral:rRNA from 1 species